UACGUAGGUGGCGAGCGUUAUCCGGAAUGAUUGGGCGUAAAGGGUGCGCAGGCGGAAUAACAAGUCUGAAGUAAAAGGCAUUGGCUUAACCAAUGUAUGCUAUGGAAACUGUUAAGCUAGAGUGCAGGAGAGGGCAGUGGAAUUCCAUGUGUAGCGGUAAAAUGCGUAGAUAUAUGGAGGAACACCGGUGGCGAAGGCGGCUGCCUGGCCUGUAACUGACGCUGAGGCACGAAAGCGUGGGGAGCAAAUAG
rnacentral:rRNA from 1 species